GGACUAUCGAUGCUGUCAAGGCUGUGCUUGCUGCAGACAGGGUAACUGAUAGCAAAUAUGGUAAACUGCAGACUACAGCGUGUUUGGGGGGCCUCAAAACUUUGAAAAGUGGAUGGACGUGCACUCAGCUCCGUCUUGUCCUUCAGAGGCGAGGGCACCUGUUGAGCAGCUAAUAGGGCAGUUUGCAUCUGGAAUGACUGGCUUGCUCGGGAAGUUGGUUGAGGGGUGGACGUCCCUCAGUGGCUCUGAC